rnacentral:pre_miRNA from 1 species
CCUUAUCACUGAUCUGGUCCGGUGUGGCGAUUUAACAACUGGACGGAGAACUGAUAAGGGC